rnacentral:rRNA from 1 species
UACGAAGGGGGCUAGCGUUGCUCGGAUUUACUGGGCGUAAAGGGCGCGUAGGCGGACAGUUAAGUUGGGGGUGAAAGCCCGGGGCUCAACCUCGGAAUUGCCUUCAAUACUGGCUGUCUUGAGUGCGGGAGAGGUGUGUGGAACUCCGAGUGUAGAGAUGAAAUUCGUAGAUAUUCGGGAAGAAACACCAGUGGCCGAAGGCGACACACUGGCCCGUUACUGACGCUGAGGCGCGAAAAGCGUGGGGAGCAAACAGG